GCCUAUAGCUCAGUUGGUUAGAGCGUCCGACUCAUAAUCGGCAGGUCCCAGGUUCGAGUCCUGGUGGGC
rnacentral:tRNA from 1 species